GUGAAUCAUCAAAUUUUUGAACGCACAUUGCACUCCCUGGUAUUCCGGGGAGCAUGCCUGUUUGAGGAUCGUUAAAACAAAAAUCGCAGCGUCUCUCUUUUUUUUUACGGGAGAUCGCGUCGGAAUUGAUCCGUCUUUCAAAUGUUAAUUCAUCUCAAAGUGGCAUGAAAUUCAUCCAUCCGGUACGAUUAAAACGUCUUUAAGAUCAACUUUAAUUAAGAACCCGCGAUGAACGUACCAUCUCAUGUAGUACGUUUGCCUUGACGUCUUC
rnacentral:misc_RNA from 1 species